GGAAGUAAAAGUCGUAACAAGGUUUCCGUAGGUGAACCUGCGGAAGGAUCAUUACCGAGUGUAGGGUUCCUAGGGAGCCCAACCUCCCACCCGUGUUUACUGUACCUUAGUUGCUUCGGCGGGCCCGCCAUUCAUGGCCGCCGGGGGCUCUCAGCCCCGGGCCCGCGCCCGCCGGAGACACCACGAACUCUGUCCGAUCUAGUGAAGUCUGAGUUGAUUGUAUCGCAAUCAGUUAAAACUUUCAACAAUGGAUCUCUUGGUUCCGGCAUCGAUGAAGAACGCAGCGAAAUGCGAUAACUAGUGUGAAUUGCAGAAUUCCGUGAAUCAUCGAGUCUUUGAACGCACAUUGCGCCCCCUGGUAUUCCGGGGGGCAUGCCUGUCCGAGCGUCAUUGCUGCCCAUCAAGCACGGCUUGUGUGUUGGGUCGUCGUCCCCUCUCCGGGGGGGACGGGCCCCAAAGGCAGCGGCGGCACCGCGUCCGAUCCUCGAGCGUAUGGGGCUUUGUCACCCGCUCUGUAGGCCCGGCCGGCGCUUGCCGAACGCAAAUCAAUCUUUUCCAGGUUGACCUCGGAUCAGGUAGGGAUACCCGCUGAACUUAAGCAUAUCAAUAAGCGGAGGA
rnacentral:rRNA from 1 species